GACGAACGCUGGCGGCGUGCUUAACACAUGCAAGUCGAACGGAAAGGCCCUGCUUUUGUGGGGUGCUCGAGUGGCGAACGGGUGAGUAACACGUGAGUAACCUGCACUUGACUUUGGGAUAACUUCAGGAAACUGGGGCUAAUACCGGAUAGGAGCUCCUGCUGCAUGGUGGGGGUUGGAAAGAUUCGGCGGUUGGGGAUGGACUCGCGGCUUAUCAGCUUGUUGGUGGGGUAGUGGCUUACCAAGGCUUUGACGGGUAGCCGGCCUGAGAGGGUGACCGGCCACAUUGGGACUGAGAUACGGCCCAGUCUCCUACGGGAGGCAGCAGUGGGGAAUAUUGCACAAUGGGCGGAAGCCUGAUGCAGCAACGCCGCGUGCGUGAUGACGGCCUUCGGGUUGUAAACCGCUUUCGCCUGUGACGAAGCGUGAGUGACGGUAAUGGGUAAGGAAGCACCGGCUAACUACGUG
rnacentral:rRNA from 1 species